GAAGUAAAAAGUCGUAACAAGGUAGCUGUAGGUGAACCUGCUGCUGGAUCAUUACUUUUUAUGUGAUGUUCAAAUUUGAAUUUUUUCUCGCAAUCCCUUUGUGGAUUGUGUAACGGCUGCCGCUGGUGUCUAGGUGUUGCUGAUUCAGUCGUGAGCGUCCGUGACUGAAUAUGAGGUGACAUGUUAGGAUUAUCGUUAUAAUCGUAAGACUUAAUGAGCCUCUUAAGUGAGGACGCCAGCACCCAUUUUUUCUAAUAAAUUUUUUUUAAACAAAUGAAAAAUUUAGCCUUACCGGUGGAUCACUCGGUUCGUGGAUCGAUGAAGAACGCAGCUAACUGCGAUAAUUUAUGUGAACUGCAGAAAUCUUGAGCAUAAAAGUUUUGAACGCAUAUUGCGGCAUUGGGGUCAAACCCUUUGGCACGUCUGGUUCAGGGUCAUUUUCUUAUAAAGCGAAAGCUUUUAUUGUAUAUUGUCAGUGACUUUUAUACCUUAAUAUUGUUUUGGUGAUAAUUUUUGAAUUAAUAUUUAUUACCAAAUACAUUCAUAUUUUUGACCUGAACUCAGUCGAGAGCACCCGCUG
rnacentral:rRNA from 1 species